rnacentral:rRNA from 1 species
UAACGCGUAAAGAACUUGCCUCACAGCUAGGGACAACAUUUAGAAAUGAAUGCUAAUACCUGAUAUUAUGAUUUUAAGGCAUCUUAGAAUUAUGAAAGCUAUAAGCACUGUGAGAGAGCUUUGCGUCCCAUUAGCUAGUUGGAGAGGUAACAGCUCACCAAGGCGAUGAUGGGUAGCCGGCCUGAGGGGGUGAACGGCCACAAGGGGACUGAGACACGGCCCUU